GAUGAACGCUGGCGGCGUGCCUAAUACAUGCAAGUCGAGCGAACAGACGAGGAGCUUGCUCCUCUGACGUUAGCGGCGGACGGGUGAGUAACACGUGGAUAACCUACCUAUAAGACUGGGAUAACUUCGGGAAACCGGAGCUAAUACCGGAUAAUAUAUUGAACCGCAUGGUUCAAUAGUGAAAGACGGUUUUGCUGUCACUUAUAGAUGGAUCCGCGCCGCAUUAGCUAGUUGGUAAGGUAACGGCUUACCAAGGCGACGAUGCGUAGCCGACCUGAGAGGGUGAUCGGCCACACUGGAACUGAGACACGGUCCAGACUCCUACGGGAGGCAGCAGUAGGGAAUCUUCCGCAAUGGGCGAAAGCCUGACGGAGCAACGCCGCGUGAGUGAUGAAGGUCUUCGGAUCGUAAAACUCUGUUAUUAGGGAAGAACUAAUGUGUAAGUAACUAUGCACGUCUUGACGGUACCUAAUCAGAAAGCCACGGCUAACUACGUG
rnacentral:rRNA from 1 species